GAAGGCAGGCAUCAAUGACAAAGCUCACCAUUUGUUUAAUGCAGCAGUACAGAUUACAGUCCUCUGAAAAAAGAGUUUUAAGAUUUCCAUCAUGUACAGAUCAAUGGAUGAGGAUGAAUUGUGCCAAGACUCGAAACUAUUGAACCUCAGGUCAGCUAGUGGUGUUGCCAGUGCUGAAGAGGUUAAGUUUGAAGGGAAUGUUAUAUAAAAGGAGAGGCACUUCACAUAAUCAAGCUGUAGCCAGCACCAAGUGAAUACCGGAAGGAAGUACUGACAGGAGGGGCCAGCCCUAAUCCAGUAUGAAACCCAGCAGUACACAGACAGCUCCAGCAUCUCCUUCGCCAGCGACCGCCAGCAGGUGACUCCAGGGCAUGUGGACCUUGUCCAUGCAACAACUGAGGCAACAUACCUUCUCUGCUGUCGGUCUUGCUGAUGAAUCCGUGAACAAUGCUUGCAGUAUUCUACGCUACUAAUAUCCAACAGGGUCUUGCAAUCACAAUAAAAAUGCCCAAGACAAUCACUCGUCCCUUUUCUUUGACCCUGCGCCAUCUCAGUAGAACGGUAUGUUACAAGCCCAGGUGACGACACAACGGUAUGCAAUAAGUCCAGCUCCAUUGGUAUCGAACAACUCACUGGUGGGAUAGUCCCACUUUACUUGAUGCUCUUGGUAUC